UAGACUGAAGCCCGCUGGAUAGGGCGUUCGGUUGUUAACUGAGUAUUUGCGGGAUCAAGGCCCGUCAGUCUAG
rnacentral:tRNA from 1 species